rnacentral:rRNA from 1 species
GUGGGGGAUAUUGCACAAUGGGGGAAACCCUGAUGCAGCGACGCCGCGUGAGGGAAGAAGGCCUUAGGGUCGUAAACCUCUGUUGUGUGGGAAGAAGAGCGUGACGGUACCACACGAGGAAGUCCCGGCUAACUACGUGCCAGCAGCCGCGGUAAUACGUAGGGGACGAGCGUUGUCCGGAAUUACUGGGCGUAAAGGGCGCGUAGGCGGUCAUUUAAGUCAGCUGUGAAAUGGUCCGGCUCAACCGGAUCAUGCGGUUGAAACUGGAUGACUGGAGUGCUGGAGAGGCAAGUGGAAUUCCCAGUGUAGCGGUGAAAUGCGUAGAUAUUGGGAAGAACACCGGUGGCGAAGGCGACUUGCUGGCCAGCAACUGACGCUGAGGCGCGAAAGCCAGGGGAGCAAACGGGAUUAGAUACCCGUGUAGUCC